GAUGAAGAACGUAGCGAAAUGCGAUAAGUAGUGUGAAUUGCAGAAUUCAGUGAAUCAUCGAAUCUUUGGACGCACAUUGCGCCCCUUGGUAUUCCAUGGGGCAUGCCUGUUCGAGCGUCAUUUGUACCUUCAAGCUCUGCUUGGUGUUGGGUGUUUGUCUCGCCUCUGCGUGUAGACUCGCCUCAAAACAAUUGGCAGCCGGCGUAUUGAUUUCGGAGCGCAGUACAUCUCGCGCUUUGCACUCAUAACGACGACGUCCAAAAGUACAUUUUUACACUCUUGACCUCGGAUCAGGUAGGGAUACCCGCUGAACUUAAGCAUAUCAAUAAGCGGAGGA
rnacentral:misc_RNA from 1 species